UACGUAGGUGGCGAGCGUUAUCCGGAAUUACUGGGCGUAAAGCGCAAGCAGGCGGUCUGUUAAGUUUGACGUAAAAUCUCCUGGCUUAACUGGGAGGGGUCGUUGGAGACUGGCAGACUUGAGGCGAUGAGAGGGGCAUGGAAUUCCCGGUGUAGUGGUGGAAUGCGUAGAGAUCGGGAGGAACACCAGAGGCGAAAGCGGUGCCCUGGCAUUGGCCUGACGCUGAGAUGCGAAAGCGUGGGGAGCGAACGGGAUUAGAUACCCCGGUAGUCCACGCCGUAAACGAUGAGUACUGGGUGUAGGUGGGGUUAGAGCCAUCUGUGCCGAAGCAAACGCGUUAAGUACUCCGCCUGGGGAGUACGGCCGCAAGGCUAAA
rnacentral:rRNA from 1 species